UUCUUUUCAGUGGCUGUCAAACGAUUAAUCGUGAUUAAUUGCAUACAAAAUAAAAGUUUGAGUUUGCCUAGUAUGUGUGUAUACAGUGUGUAAUUAUUAUGUAUAUAUAAAUACACACAAAUUAAUGUAUAUAUUUAAGAGUAAUAUAUUAUUUAUGUAGAACGUAUUUGUAUUUACAUUGUUCUUCAAGACAUAGCAAACAUUUUGAUUGUAACAAAUAACAUGGAUUUUGCAUGGAAGCAUUCUGUUCAUACUUUUUGAAGAGUAUUUUACUAAAACACCAAAAGUGUUGUCAACAGCUGAGGUGUUUCUACUAUCAGUGUGUUGAAGUGUUGUUUUCUGCUGGAGUUUGUGUUCACUGGAGUGGAAUAGAGGUUUUUGUAUGACUGUUUCAUUAGAUUGUAUCACUGUGGUACACAUUCGGUGGAGGAACUAAACUGGUGCUCACUGGUCCCACAGUGAAGCCCUCAGUGUCUCUGCUGCCGCCCUCUUCUCUGCAGAUCUCUGGAGACUCAGCCGCACUGCUCUGCCUGCUCAGCUCUUACUCUCCACAGGGGGCGCUGGUGAGCUGGACACUGGACGGCUCAGAGGUCACCGAGGGGGUUCAGACCAGCGCAGAGAGCGAGCGGGAUGGCCGCUACAGCCGCAGUAGUGUCCUGACCCUCAGCAAAGCACGCUGGGAAAAAGGAGAGCUGUACGUCUGCAGAGUAACACAUGAAGGAGCUCCUCAAGAGGUCUCGUUCCUAAAGAGUAGCUGUUAGUCGCUUGGAGUGCUGAUGUUUCUCUCCUGAAGAUGAGGCGUAUCUGAGUGUCCUGUGUCAGGCAGGAUUCACAUGAGUCUAGUGCUGCAGCUGUAGUCAUUUACAACUCAAUACUGAAAGAGAGCUCUAGUGUCAAAGCACUGGCUGAUCUUUCAAUCUGCUGUGUUUGCUGCAACAUUCAAUAAAGCUUCUCAACAAGC